rnacentral:lncRNA from 1 species
CGUUGCAAUUGGCUUCAUUUGGCCAGGCCAAGGUGAUCAGAAGGUCCUGACUUCCUUGCCCAGAAGCCUUAGGACUGGGAUGGAUGUUGGCAAGGCCUGGGGAUUCUAAUGCUAAGAUUUAAACUGGAAGCAGAGCUGAGUUCAGGGAGCUAACAGGAAGUAGAAAAACAGGUGUGGGAAUCCAUUUCCCAGAAUCCUCUGGGUGAAUGAUUUUAAAAAAUGGGCAGGGGGCUUUAAGUUCAAGAAUGCCUUUCUUUCCCUUUUUCUGGCUUAUACUCUGCCUGCCUUGCUGUGGAGCUACCCUGAUAGCCUCGUGGGAGGACCUUUCAAUAUUUGAAUAAGGUAUAACGUUAGACCACAACAACUCAAAAAAGACUGUAUAUCAAGCAGUGACCAGAAUGAGAGAAACACGGACCUGCGGGCAGCUGAGUCGCCAAAGGGCGACCCUCGUGAUCCCCCCAGCCCACCUCAGAAUUUCCCCAACAAGGUUCAGAGCCUGGAGAGAAAGUCCA